AGCGAACGCUGGCGGCAGGCCUAACACAUGCAAGUCGAACGGACCCUUCGGGGUUAGUGGCGGACGGGUGAGUAACACGUGGGAACGUGCCUUUAGGUUCGGAAUAGCUCCUGGAAACGGGUGGUAAUGCCGAAUGUGCCCUUCGGGGGAAAGAUUUAUCGCCUUUAGAGCGGCCCGCGUCUGAUUAGCUAGUUGGUGAGGUAAUGGCUCACCAAGGCGACGAUCAGUAGCUGGUCUGAGAGGAUGACCAGCCACAUUGGGACUGAGACACGGCCCAAACUCCUACGGGAGGCAGCAGUGGGGAAUCUUGCGCAAUGGGCGAAAGCCUGACGCAGCCAUGCCGCGUGGAUGAUGAUGGUCUUAGGAUUGUGAAAUCCUUUCACCGGUGAAGAUAAUGACUGUAGCCGGAGAAGAAGCCCCGGCUAACUUCGUGCCAGCCGCCGCCGUAAAAC
rnacentral:rRNA from 1 species